rnacentral:rRNA from 1 species
AUUGAACGCUGGCGGCGUGCCUAACACAUGCAAGUCGAGCGGUAACAGGUGUAGCAAUACAUGCUGACGAGCGGCGAACGGGUGAGUAAUGCUUCGGAAUCUGCCCAUGUAGUGGGGAAUAACUAGCCGAAAGGUUAGCCAAUACCGCAUACGACCUACGGGUGAAAGCAGGGGAUCGCAAGACCUUGCGCUAUUGGAUG